CUCCUAACCUCAUUAGCAUAAAUCGGAAGAAUUCGGAGAUAAACGUAAUAAAAUAUGAACAAAAUCCGUAAACGUCCGAACAGCUUUCCUCGCGAGAAUUCAGCGAGACCAACAUGCUACAGGUGAAAAUCGAGAGAGAAAUUCAACAUGGAAAAAGAGGUAAAACUUUAUGUUAUCUCGAUUUAUAAAAUUUGUACAUUGCAAAAAGUUGAAAAACAAACGUUUCUUUACCUGAAAAGUGAAAGGAGGUUUGCAGUUUCUUAUUCUGUCAAGUGCUAUUGCACUUUAAAGUGUCAAAACAGCACCUCUCGAUUUUGUAAACAUGUUUCCACGUGGAAGGGAGUAGUUGUGAUGGUUAAGAUUAACCCGCAUACAUUGAUUUAGUGAACAAAAACACUCGUACAGCUGUAGAGUACAUUUUGAACAGCCAUCUACAGGAUAUACUCUUAAGACAGUGAUGUGCAAAUUCAAGGUUUGCCUGUUCAGAUACUUUAAUAAUAAAGAACAUGAAGAAUGGGUGAAAAAAUUCUCACAUUAUCAUGCUGCAAAAUAGUACAUUUCAGCUGUAACAAAACAAAUUAUCUGAUGAAAGCUUCAACCAUGAGAAUCUAGGAAAGGAUGUCAAGUCGAAAGAGAAGGCCAUAUAACAAAUUGUUCCUGAAUUCAUGAAGACUAGCUGGGAUGAUACAGUACUUUUCUACUCAUAUGAACUAUAUCUAAACAUCAUUUGAGGAUCCCUUUCUCAGAAAAAAGAAUUUGCAUAUUCAAAGACUCUAUAGUUUAUUGUUAAUUUGUACGUUGUUUAACAUUCUUCUUGAGAAAUUUUCACUCAUAUGGGGAUGCCAACAUUUGUCGGUGGAGAGCUUCAAACUUUGUCCUUUACCUGGCAUACAUGGCUAAUUGAGCAAUGAGGGAUCUUUUUGGUACUAGCACCUACUGCAACAAAGGACCUCUGUAUAAACAGUCUCAUCUAUGUCCGACUGUGGGAUUUCGAACCAGCAAUACAUGGAUCAACUCCCUACUCAUGACUCUCGAGCAGAUGCUUUUGCUACUGUGCCAUGCAGGUGACUUCAUAGGUUAUAAAAUGAUAAGAUAAGAUUUAUAACUUAAAACUGAUGUUUUUAAUUCAAUCACAGUAUAGAAAAUGUUUGCAAAAGAAGUGAGGUAUAGCUACAUGUAGCUCUCACUGGUAUUGCAUGCUUGAACUAUAUAUAUGAAUUACAUAUUGUAUUUACACAUGUAUUUUAAACCAGAUUAGUAAAGAAAGAAACUCUUGAAUAUUUUUACUCUGAAUUUUAUUAUAAGGUUGAUUAUCUUUCAAAAAUGGAACUUUAAUUUUUUUGAGUAGGAAAAAAAAAUUUAGAAUGUGCACUUAAUUUGGUUUAUUAAAAAUAGUCAACAUUUGGAGAUCUUGUGAAGGGUAACUAAAUAUUGAUUUAUAAAUUUUUACUUCAUUUUUAAACAAAAUAAUCUUUAUUAUAACAUAUGCCUGUAAUAUACAACUUAUUUGCUGUUGAACAUUCCAUUGUCUGUCUACAUGUAGUGCUUAGUAAAUUUCUUGUAAAUAAAAACAUGAUUGCACGCUGUUUCUUUACUUUGUCUUUUUUCAAUAUGAGUCAUGAUAUAUAGAUGGUGUGCUUGUCAGUUUAAAUUAUUUUUGUUGAAUUCAGUGAACAGAAAACAUUUAUAACUGAAUAUGAUUAUGUAGAUAGAUACCUUCCAGAACUAUUUACAUGUACUAGUAGCUGCAGAUAUGUAGCUUAUGUGAAAUCAGGUAUACUUGAAACUCAAUUUACCUCUAUUUAUUAAACAGAAAGUUAGUAAACACAUUCAUAUACCUAUGUAGUAUUUCAUACUGAAAAUACACUGUGUUAA